CCUACGGGAGGCAGCAGUGGGGAAUAUUGGACAAUGGGCGAAAGCCUGAUCCAGCAAUGCCGCGUGAGUGAUGAAGGCCUUAGGGUUGUAAAGCUCUUUUACCAGGGAUGAUAAUGACAGUACCUGGAGAAUAAGCUCCGGCUAACUCCGUGCCAGCAGCCGCGGUAAUACGGAGGGAGCUAGCGUUGUUCGGAAUUACUGGGCGUAAAGAGUACGUAGGCGGUUAUUCAAGUCAGAGGUGAAAGCCCGGGGCUCAACCCCGGAACUGCCUUUGAAACUAGAUAGCUAGAAUCUUGGAGAGGUCAGUGGAAUUCCGAGUGUAGAGGUGAAAUUCGUAGAUAUUCGGAAGAACACCAGUGGCGAAGGCGACUGACUGGACAAGUAUUGACGCUGAGGUACGAAAGCGUGGGGAGCAAACAGGAUUAGAUACCCUGGUAGUCCACGCCGUAAACGAUGAUAACUAGUUGUUCGGGCACUUGGUGCCUGAGUGACGCAGCUACGCAUUAAGUUAUUCCGUCCGUCGGGAGGUACGGUCGGCGAGAUUAAACUACAAGAAGUUAGUACGGCGUGAGACGUGACCGAACGGACGACGACGAGGGAGGUAGG
rnacentral:rRNA from 1 species